CGUGUAUAUAAGGGCGUACACUCUUUCUCGCUGUUUAAAUUGGACAUUGUAUCUCUAGUCGAUUAACACGCAACAAUCCAUACGAGAAAAUGAAAUUUCUUUUCUUCGCCUUGGCUGCCAUGGUCACCGUUUCAAUGGCGGCUUUCCAAAUGCCACCUCCGCCACCGACUGAAUUUCCUCUUUCAACUGGAGGUCCACUUCCGCCUACUGGAUCACCAACUGGUGGCUUACGUCCUCAACCACGUCCUCCAGGUCCUCGUCCAGCCCGUCUCACGCAGAAUUUUCUGGACCAGUCCAAAGCCUCAAAUUAAACAACCCAGUAUUUCGUAAAGCGCAUCUUCGAUGCAUUUUUCUUUAUCAAUUGUCAUUUAAUUAUUUCACCUAACAAUAAAUAUCGUUUUAAAAGCA